rnacentral:sRNA from 1 species
UUGCAGACUGCGUUAGGGAUAGAAGCGGCAUCUUUUUUAAGAUUCUUUUUUUUAGAAGAUUAAAAAAAUACAGCGAAUAGCCCGUUAAAAC